UACAGAGGGGGCAAGCGUUAUUCGGAAUUAUUGGGCGUAAAGGGCGCGUAGGCGGCUUUGCAAGUGACGGGUGAAAUCCCUCGGCUUAACCGAGGAACUGCCUGUCAAACUGCAUGGCUUGAGACCAGGAGAGGUGAGUGGAAUUCCCAGUGUAGCGGUGAAAUGCGUAGAUAUUGGGAGGAACACCAGUGGCGAAGGCGGCUCACUGGACCGGUACUGACGCUGAGGCGCGAAAGCGUGGGGAGCAAACAGG
rnacentral:rRNA from 1 species